rnacentral:lncRNA from 10 species
CGGGGUUUCAGCUGAUGUGAGGGCAUGUUGAAUUUGGGGUACCUCUGAAAAAAAAUAGGAAUGGGAGAAAAGUUAGUCCAGGGACAGGCCUAGGAAAGCAGGUAUUUGUCUAAUCUGAUGUUUAUUGGAAGCCAUGAGAAUCAAUGAAUGUAUCCAGAAAGUGAGACUAUGAACAAGACAAAUCUGAUGGUAACAUUUUUAGCUUUAAGACUCACAGAUAAAAAGCCAGGCAAAGAGAGAAAGUGAUCAUAUUCAAUGAAUACAGGAGGAAAGAUGAGAGCAGAAAGAAUCCAACUAGGAAACCACACAGUUGGAAACCAACGAAGAAUUUUGAGGAUGACGUUGAGGUCAUGAAGAGGUCAAUGAGCAUAAGGAUUGAAGACACCCACGUUCUGAACAUAGAAGAGGUCUGUUUUCCUAUCAUUCGACACUGAAAUGACGUUUCCAGGAUAAAAUUCUCCAAUUCAUGUCGAGUGUGCUUAUCCAUGUUUUCCCCAGAGUCAAACUCUUGAUGACGGUAUUUAGCAGUUGGUAAAUGCCUAGUGUGCUGAGUCUGUGCAGAUCUGAUACUCUUCACAGUCCCUGACCAAAGCCCCGGAUCCUGAAUCUUACAAAAUGCAAUGGAAUCUUGAAAAAUAGAAAAGACAUGGGGCAAGUAUUCAAAACUUACCCUAAGUGCUUCUGACCCUGAAUAGCUAAGGCUCAAAAUUGGCUUACAGAACUGCCAUCUGCAAGCCAGAAACCUAGGAAAGCUGGUGGUGUAAUUCAACUGAAGUCCAAAGGCAGGAGCUCAUGGUCUGAAUCCCAGUCUGUGGGCAGAAGAAGGUGAGAUGAGAUGUUCUAGCUCAAGCAGUAAGGCAGAAAAGAAACAAACAACAACAACAAAAAAAGUGUCUUCCUCCUUCCUCUGCCUUUUGCUCUGUCCAGAUCCCCAGUGGAUUGGAUGAAGCCCACUUGCAUUGAAGAAAGCAAUCUUAUUUUACUGGGUCCACUGAUUCAGAAGCUGAUCUCAUCUGAAAAUAUCCUCAUAGACACACCUGCAGAUGUUUAAUCUGGGCACCUCUUGGCCCAAGUCAUUUUGACACAAAAAGUUAGCCAUGGCAUGUACUAAAACUGAAAUCAUACUAAGAGUGUAUUCUUUAGUACUCCAUGGAUGUCUUCCUUCAAAGUUUAGCUAUUUAAGAUUUAUGUCAUUAUAUAAACAAUAGAGAAUUACUCUGUUUCUGUUGAUUGUUUUUUUUUUCUUUCAGUGUUAUCACCAGGCCAACUUUAUGGGAAUUUGAAAUACUAAUAACAUCAACAAAUAACAAUACAUGGUUGGUAUCUCUUUAAUAGUUAUCAAUUGGGAAAAUCAAAGUAUUUACAAAAUGUAUGCAGGAAACCACUAAAACCUUCAGUGAGAGGAAUAUCAGAUACUCUUAUCCAGUACAGGUUAUAAAAAGAAUUGUAUUCAUUGAAUAUGUGUCAGAAACUAUUCUAGAAACUUUACAUAGAGCAGCCGAGUCUUCAUGAGCACUCCAUGAACAAAGUUUUAUUAUCCUCUUAGACUGAAGAAGACACUGAGACAAGAAGCGGUUAAAUUACAGUAUCAGGACCCCAGAUGGCUAAAGCUGGAGGCUGAAUCCCCUACCUGGGUGCCUAUUUUUAGGUAUUUAGGUAUAACAACAUGUUCUAGAGAUAAUCAGUACACAACAGUGACAACAUGACCUGGGGUACUUUUCCAUACCCUCCUUGCCCCCCUUAUCCCUAGUACAAGAGUUAAAAAACUCUCAGUGCUAAACACCCAGAAAGCUGAGAAAAUUAUAUGGGUGCACACAGGCACAGCUAAAUCACUAGUGAUUUCACAACCCUAGGAAAUCUCUCUUAAUAUAUUAGGCUACUGUGGGUUAUUUAGUUUUUUUCAUAUAAACAUACUAACAACAUAGUUCAUAUUGCACUGCAGUCUGCUUUUGCAGUUAUCAAUAUAUCCUCAACAUAUUCUCAUGACCUUAAAUGUUCUUCUAAAUCAAAGGUCAGCAAUGGAUAGUCCACGAGCCAAAUAUGGACUGUAAUUUUUUUUGUUUGUUUUUUGAGACAGAAUUUUUCUCUUGCCCAGGCUGGUGUGCAAUGGUACGAUCUCGG